rnacentral:lncRNA from 1 species
GAGACUGGGGUUGAGGGGACAUGACUGUGGCUAUAAAAGGGUAACGAGAGAUCCUUGUGAUGGAACCUUUGCAUCCUGACUGUGGACCUUCUGACUUUUUCCAGACUUAACUGUUACACUAACUGUGUCUAGCACUCAGAUGUAAUGGAUAGAUGUUUAAUCAACAUAAGGUCUAGACAAAAGGACAUGAGGAAGUUAUAAAACUGGUGCCACGAGAAGCAUUUGACACUGAUUACAUUAAGCCUGUUUCUC